GUAACCAUUUCAAGUUGAAAUAGCGGUUCUCGUACGAUCACCGUGGUUAAGCAACGCCGAGCCUGGUCAGUACCAAGCUGGGGGACUCCUUGGGAAUACCAUGUAUCGUUA